AUGCAUUAUUUCCCAUUCAUUCGUUAUUUGGGCUUGUCCUGCCGCCAUGAACUCAUUGAUUUCUUCUUGGAUCUUUGCAUUGGUCACCAGCCUUCUUCGGCCAUCACUUCCGCAAGCGCGCCAGGUGCUCCAGUUCCAGUCAGUCCCCUCGUCGAGGCGUGCCCUCGUUGCAAGAGGCCCCCCACGUUCGUGUUUUCGGGAUGUGCGCCAUUUUGCGUGGAUUGCUACGCCAAGAUCGUCCUCAGCAACGUGCUUCAGAAGCACCCGGAGAUCCGCUACGUGCAUCCGCCUCCAGGGGCUGCGGCCAUUAGGCCUUCUUCCAGUUCCAGCUCGAGCUCGGCCGUCGGUUCGGGGCCGAUCUGCCCGGCUUGUGGCCACCCCUUGGGCACCGGCAACAGGGCGUGCAGGUUUUGCCACAGCAACGGCCCUCCACCGCCAGGGCUCGGCUAG
rnacentral:rRNA from 1 species